CGCCUUUUAUUUACAUCUCAUGGCGCUGUGUGAGUGAACACGUUGGAGAGGAGGACCACUGAAAAGCCCCUUUGCAAUGAGAGUGACAAACGCCAUUAAUGGAUGAAUAAACCUAUAAAUGCAGUAUUAAUCAUAUGAAUCCGUGUCACCGCUGGGAUUAUUACGGUGAUAAUGGCAGCUGUGAGUCUGACGGAUCCGCUGUGCAAACCUUGCUCUUACAGCCCACAUUUUAAAGUUGAGGUGUGCGUGAGGAAGCCCUUGAUGCCCAUCCAGCUGAGCAGUGAGCAGGUGGCACUGGAGAUGCUGAGUCUCUGCAGCCAGUUGGACUUACUGAUCAGAGCUCAGGUCCAUCAGUUUCAGGAGCAGCUCAAACAGGACACAAUUCUUGAAGAGACUGAGUGUUUUCAAAAACAAGGGGCAGAGAUAAUAUAUCGGAUGAACCAGUGCCUUGAACAUCUCAAUGAACCGGUGCUUCAGCUUGAGGAGUAUUUGGAUGUUGUAGGAUUAUCUACUCUAUUCCCUCGAGUGGAAGUUUAUAUGAUACAUGGCAGCCCUGUUGACAUGUUGGAAAGACCACCUUCAGAUGCUUAUUUUCCUCAUAUUGGGAGGCUGAAUCAGCUGCUGGUUCUCAGUCAGCAGUUAGAUGAAGAUGUGAAGCAUCUGGGCAGUCAUAAGUACAUCACACAUCAGCUAUCAGCAAUUUAUCAAGUCCUAAACUCUCUCAAAGAUAUUUUGCCAUUAUCCAUCAUAAGAAAGGAUAUUGAGGCUAAUUUCAAGCAGCUGAAGAUGUCUCUUUCGACAGAGGAAGGGUCCAAGCUGGAUCCUCAGUUGCCAGCACAUCACGUGAGCUGGGUGUCAGAAUUAACACAAAACGUGAUAUCAAUGGUACUGUCACUCUCAGAAGAGCUCACCGAAGACCUCAAUCCAGUCAUGAAAUUGGUCUCUAACCUCUCGUAACAGCUAGAUCUACAGUGCCUGAAGUGGAUGGUGAGAAAUUGUCACGGAAUGAAGUGAUUCCCUUGAAAAAAGUUUUUUUUAAAAUUAUUUAUUCAUCUGUACACACCACAGAUAAGACUGUGAUAAUGUGAUCCAGAUAUAUUUCAAGACCUUGAAAAAUAAAAAGAAACAUUAAUCUGAGUACUACCACUUAUAAAUCAUUUAUUUGAACCAUUUUAGAUAUUUUUUUUGCAUUGUUGGCUCAUGAUUUUUGAGUUUUAAUAAAUGAAGAUGAUCAUUUCUAAAAAAACUUGUGCAAUAAUGUAUUUUAUAAUGCAUCUGUAUACUUGAAGUGACUGUUGCACAUGUUCUUUCCAUUCUGUACAUGAUGGUGCUAGCAUUUUUCAUCAGCAUCACACGUGAUUACAUAUCCAAAAUAAACUCAAACACGG
ensembl:lncRNA uncharacterized LOC107597587